AAUUUAAAAAUUAGAUUAUUCGGGAAUACACAUUGAAUGCGAAGAUUACGCAUUUCAUUUCUGGUAGUAGAUCCAUAAUCAAAAAAGUGUUUGUGAUUGUUCCAGAAGAAGAAAUGAAACAAAAGAUACGGUAGAGCUAGGACAGUUAUUGUAUGAGGUCUACCCAAUGCUAAAUGCAGAGGCGCAUAAUAGAUCGAUAUGAACAUCAUGAGCUGUCCCGCAAUAAAACCUGUUGUUGCUGAUACUUUCUUCUCGGUUCCUUCUUCUCCUUCGUCCAUAACCCGAGCUCGGAGAAGGAAGAGAUAAAAGGGCCCUAUGGAGAAUGUGGUCAGAAAUCCAUAAUAGAGUCCGACCACAACGACCGAAUUGAUUAUCUUCAUGCAUAAGUAUACUAGAUUACCUAGUAUAAAAGAUUGAAAAACCAUCACAAACCUCCCCUUUUUCUUUUCUAUUUCAAUUUAUGGAU
rnacentral:sRNA from 1 species